CCUCCUUUCCUCAGCCCAGCAACACCAAACCCUAGCCCCCACCACACCACAGCUCUCCUCACCCUAACGUCCUCGAUGCGCACGCCCGCGACACGCCACGCCUCGUCCAGAGCUCGUCCCUGCAGGUCCCUGACGUCGCCACGGCGCGCGCACCCGUCCCCGUGUUUGAACCCAUCGACCCUGGCAACGACCUUGAGUCCGACGGCUUUGCGAUGCGGGGUUCCUUCCCAAAUCAGGUCGCGCUCGAUGACUGGCCGCCUGUACCCGACCGCCGCCGGCGACCUUACCGCUGCCUUCUCCGAUCUAGCUCCCCUCGGAGGCUGCGCUGUGCUGGCCCUGAACCACCUCACAUCCGAGACCCAAGAUGAUUGAUCGUUUCCGGGAAACAAGAUGGUGUACCAUAGUUUUGAUUGCGCUGAAGAUGACCCCCACAAAUACUAUCCUCUAGAAUUCCUUAACUCUCUUAUCCCAAACGGGCUACCUCCGCAUGUGCUAAAGCUCAAGAGAUCGUGCUCGGGCAGCAUGUUGGGAAGAGAAUUUUUCUGCCUCGUAUCCCCCUAUGUCUCUCUGAUGACGAGAUAUUCCCUUCUCAGCUUUACCAUGACAAACAACAAGGCACAUGGUCAGACUAUCCCGAACGCCAGCAUGUACCUCCCCCAUCCAGUGUUCUCUCAUUGCCAGCUAUACAUCGCGCUAUCUAGAGCCACUGCCAGAAGGAACAUCAAGAUCCUCGCCCCGGAUGACGAUAAGAAAAAGGAGAAGCACUCAAAGCAGAGUGGGACACUAUAGUCGAGGAAUUUUAUUGUUUAUUUAUCAAUUUGUGGUUGCUGGCUAUAUUUUACUUAUCUUUGAUGUGAUGUAUCUAAUAAUUUGUUUUCGUUUGCUCAUGCUCACUGGUUGGAGGUACCCAAUUGAUAUGUUGAAGAGAGUAAGGAUAAGGGCAAGAGUAACAACUCAUGAAGUUAAUGCGCAUGCUUUCUAUUCUUCUACUAAGCAUGAGUUAAUGUAUUUUUCCACAUACGUACCACAACUCAACAACGGAUGAUGAUGCAAAGUAUGUAAACUUGGAUGGAUGUAUUUUUUGCAUUGUAUUUUGGAACCGUUGCAAUGCACGGAUACUUAACUAGUCUAACCUAAGUUUACACCUAUUAAUUAUGUACUAUCCGGACAAUGUGCUCGAAAU